rnacentral:tRNA from 1 species
GCCCGGAUGGCGGAACUGGUAGACGCACUAGGUUCAGGGUCUAGUAUCCAUAAGGAUGUGCAGGUUCGACUCCUGUUCCGGGCA